UGGGUCAUGAAUUCGUUUUUCUCAGGAGCCGCGCAAAGACACAGAGCCGGUGAGAGCUGGAGGAUCUGCCCGGGAGAUGAAGUGCUGGCCGUGCCCUGCGAGCAGGUGCGGGGAAGGCUUCCUUCCUCGGCCUGCACCGCUGCGAAAAGCAGUGAGAGCGGCAGAGUAUGCUCAGUACGGAGCUGGGAGCAGGAGAGGGAUCAUGCCUGCGUUUGUCUUCCAAGGUGACCGUAAAUGAAGUGCAACACAUGAAUGUAUUCCCCCUGAGAAAUGCAGUAAACUAUUUUGCUAUCAAGAGCAGUAAGAUUUCAUCAUACAGUGAAAUUGUUCUGAUUCUUUCCAGUAAAAGCGUCUGCAUAGGCUUUGGGAGGAAUUUUACAAAUGAAACACAUGGCUUCCAAGGAGUACAGUUGUUUCUGUGUUGGGGAACAUGGAGAGUUGGGUUAAUCACUGUGAAGCCUCACAAGAUGGACUGA
rnacentral:lncRNA from 1 species